rnacentral:rRNA from 1 species
UACGAAGGGGGCUAGCGUUGCUCGGAAUCACUGGGCGUAAAGGGUGCGUAGGCGGGUCUUUAAGUCAGGGGUGAAAUCCUGGAGCUCAACUCCAGAACUGCCUUUGAUACUGAAGAUCUUGAGUAUGGGAGAGGUGAGUGGAACUGCGAGUGUAGAGGUGAAAUUCGUAGAUAUUCGCAAGAACACCAGUGGCGAAGGCGGCUCACUGGCCCAUUACUGACGCUGAGGCACGAAAGCGUGGGGAGCGAACAGG